rnacentral:rRNA from 1 species
CCCCUAGAUGUUCUGGGCCGCACGCGCGCUACACUGAACAGUUCAACAAGUCUUAACCUUGGCCGAUAGGUCUGGGUAAUCUUUGAACGCUGUUCGUGAUUGGGAUAGACCUUUGCAAUUAUGGGUCUUCAACGAGGAAUUCCUAGUAAACGCAAGUCAUCAGCUUGCAUUGAUUACGUCCCUGCCCUUUGUACACACCGCCCGUCGCACCUACCGAUUGAAUGGUCCGGUGAAAUCUCGGGACGGCGGCUCGGUCGCUUGCGUCCGACUGCUGAAACUUUAUUAAACCAUAUCAUUUAGAGGAAGGUGAAGUCGUAACA